rnacentral:sRNA from 1 species
AUCAUAGUACAAUAAAAAUAAGACAAAAUCUCAUUCAAGGGACUAUCUGUAUUCAACACCCUGAAAGUUCUGAGCUACAUCAACAGCUGGAACAGUACAGAAACACUAUCUCUGAGGGAGGACAGAGUACCAGGUACUAAAUAGAUCCUGGCAAAUUAACAGGCAUGGAAGUUUCCAGAGCACAUUCCCAUGCUUUAUCUCUCUUACAGGUUUUGGAAUCAUUUUCAAAUAAAACUCCCCCUCACGCCACCCAACUGGAAGUCAUUCCUGAUGUGCUGUGAGCAGAAUGAGCCUGGGAUUUUGCAAGAAUGCAAAACCACAUGAAAAUUUCAAGAAUUCACUGAUCUGAUGCAAAAUAAAAAUUUAUCAUUACAUCUUGAACCCAGGAAGCUUACAGCAAAUAGACUAUGACGUCAGCAAUGGAUAAUUCCACAUUGCCUUUGUGAUUUGUGUAUAUAGCUUACAUUUGUGGAUCACUACAUAGCCAGAUUCAAAAAUAUUUUACUUGUUCCAUCCACAGUUCUCUACAGAAAGAACCAAUGAACCCAAUAGGAACAAAUUCUCUGUGGAAAACAAAGCAUAACUGUAGUAGAUAAGAAUCCAAUCACAGAGGAAACAGGAAGAGAAAAACGUCCAAGACUACAGUGAAAACAGGAAAUGGUCUGUUUUCGUGAUAUUCGUAUAAUUAAGACACAAAUUUUUCCUUAGGAAAAUGUGAUUGUUAACUAGGAUUCUGUUUUACAUGUUGACAUUUCCAACACACACAUCACUGAUUUGAACUUCAAAAUUUAUUUUCUGAUUAUAUAUGCUAGGUCUGAUUCUGAAGGUACAAGAAUUCAAUGGUGGAAUUUGUCUCCUGAAAUUUCUAGAUUCAUAAUUAGAAGUGUUUAUUACCAACUUCUCACUUAGAUUAACAUCAAUGAUGUCUGAUUAUUCUGGUUAACCGCUCACAUGCAUAACAAUAAUGCUAGAAAUUCAGGAAUUAUAUUUUGUGAUUUAUACUGUGUGGUAAAUUAUUCAGUUCUCACUGCAAAUAAAUAUAAUGUAUAUCAAUGUAAUGUAGGUCAGAAUGUCUAUGGUGAGCAAAUAAAAGAUUAUUUUAAAAUAUGA